ensembl:lncRNA
CGUGAGCCUCACUCACUCACUCGCGGGAUUUGUCUAGUUCCUCACUAUAUGUAGCGGCAUGACGAACACAGAUGAAGGAUGAUUUCGGUGAAUCAGAUUCAUCCCCACUUUGGCGUAAUUGGUAACGGUUGUUGCAGGUUAAUGUGAAGUAAUUUGCUGGUCAUUUAUGCGUUAGAACUCCAGCUAUGGCCUGGCUCGACUAGUUAUCCAGCUAACGUUACCUAGCAAGGUAACGUAUGCUGUGACAAAUUUAGGCUAUCGUGAUUGUUGCAGUGUAGUUUUUUUUGUAAGUUAGCGGUAAUAGUUUGAAUAGUUAAAUGCAAGAAAAACAAUUUGAAGCUUAUGCCGUUUAAGAUUCAGUCAUUUGUUCAUAGUUAAGGAAUUAUUUAGCCUAGAUUGGGGGCCUACGCCACGUGUGGGUCUAUUCUUCGUUUGCACGUGGCAACUCAAAUUCAGUUAACAACGCUAACGUUGGCUAAAAGUGAGCUAAGCAAUAUCUGAUAACAUUGUAUCACUUGUAUAACUUUACUUCGAGGUUAAUAUUUCCAGUGAAUCCAGGACCUAUGACUACAAUAUGUGAGGGUAAUAGACACAUAUGAAGACUUCGCGCUUGAAAUACUUACUUCAUUCAAAAUAUGUGUUCACUGACUUUGUUUGCUAAGUAAUGUUAUGUUAGCUGAACAGGUAAAAUCCACAUCUAUAUAUUCUUCUCAAAGGUAGGUGGAUUGUUACUGACAAAUAUAUUGCAGAGUGGGAUAAGUGUUUGGUAAACUAGCCAGAGUAGCAAAUCUGAUUAUUUGUAUAUUUGCCCUGAUGGAUGAAGAGCAUAUUCCAGAACUCCCUGAUUACGUGAUGUAAAUAAGAAUCCUGAGUGCAUCCAUAUGCCUUAAAGUGGCGCAUUAGAAACUGGUUUAAAAUUUGCUCUAAUUUUUUACAAGGGCAUUUAAAAUUUUUUGUUUGGAUUUGGUUUAUAUUCCAGAUUUACACGAUUGGUGCAAUAAACCAGCAUGUAGUUCAACACCUAGAAAGCCCCCCCAACUGGUCUGUUACUCAUUUGAAGUAACUGGGUGAAAUUUCAGAUGGGGACGGUGAGGCUAAGAGCAGCGGCCCCAAAACAGUGGACAAUUACAGCUUGUGAUGCAGUACAAAUUAUGUUGAUGUUUUUAAUAACAGUGUAUGAAAAUCUGAUUAUAUUUUUGCUUGUUUUUGGAUCUCCAUGCUCUCUUGUCUGUGUUGAUUCCCAGACAAGGCAGCAUGGUCCAUAUUCAGCCAGUGUCUCUCACGUCUGUGCCAAGGAAACUACCAACAGUAACAAUAACUUAUGUAUCCAGUACUGAUAUGUGAUGUAUGAUGACAGUGUUCAGCCUGAUAUUUACUCAUCAUUUCUGAAUGCUUUGGAAGCCUCCGGCGUUGAUGUAAUCUUUCCUUUUCUCUCCCGUCAGCAUGUUCCACUUACUGCAAUGCUGGAACAGGACUGUGUGACCCCCUAACUAAUAACAGGGACAGGUGUCUGGUGUUGAAAAGGCUGUUACUUGGACUUUCUGAAGUAAGUUUAAAAUCAGGCUAACAAUAAAGCCCAUGUAGUUAAAGUUGAUCUGACUGAUAAAUUGUAUUCGCCAUAACAUCUUUUGAGAGGCCAAAACCCCUGUGUAUCCUCUGGUAAAGAUUCUGUUUGUCCGUCCAGUUAUGUAACUACUUUAGUAAUGGGGAAUCGGUAAUGUCUAAAAUACACAGGAACAUUUCUCAGUAUGGUGAACUAAAUAACGGUAUUGAUGGAUGAUUAUGAUGAUUUAUAUUCUGAACUCUCUCUCUGAACAACUGAUGUCACUGAGAAUUCU